rnacentral:tRNA from 1 species
AGGGAAGUAGCUCAGUGGUAGAGUACUUGCUUAGCAUGCAAAGCCCUGGGUUUGAUCCCCAGCACUGCAA